CAGUCGCCACGGUAAUACGGAGGGUGCAAGCGUUAAUCGGAAUUACUGGGCGUAAAGCGCACGCAGGCGGUCUGACAAGUCAGAUGUGAAAUCCCCGGGCUUAACCUGGGAACUGCAUUUGAAACUGUCAGGCUGGAGUCUUGUAGAGGGGGGUAGAAUUCCAGGUGUAGCGGUGAAAUGCGUAGAGAUCUGGAGGAAUACCGGUGGCGAAGGCGGCCCCCUGGACAAAGACUGACGCUCAGGUGCGAAAGCGUGGGGAGCAAACAGGAUUAGAUACCCCAGUAGUCUCUGUCUCUUAUAC
rnacentral:rRNA from 1 species